rnacentral:rRNA from 1 species
AUUGAACGCUGGCGGCAGGCUUAACACAUGCAAGUCGAGCGAGCGGCGGACGGGUGAGUAAUGUCUGGGAAACUGCCUGAUGGAGGGGGAUAACUACUGGAAACGGUAGCUAAUACCGCAUACCAUCAGAUGUGCCCAGAUGGGAUUAGCUAGUAGGUGGGGUAAUGGCUCACCUAGGCGACGAUCCCUAGCUGGUCUGAGAGGAUGACCAGCCAAACCGGGACUGGGGCACGGUCCAGACUCCUAAGGGAGGCAGGAGUGGGGAAUAUUGCCAAAUGGGCGGAAGCCUGAUGCAGCCAUGCCGGGUGUGUGAAGAAGGCCUUCGGGGUUUAAAGCACUUUCAGGGGGGAGGCGUUACUCGCAGAAGAAGCACCGGCUAACUCCGUGCCAGCAGCCGCGGUAAUAC